AUUGAACGCUGGCGGCGUGGCUAAAGCAUGCAAGUCGAGCGAACCCGCAAGGGUGAGCGGCGGACGGGUUAGUAAUACGAUCGAACGUGCCCUGAGGCGGGGGAUAGGCGUGGGAAACUGCGCGUAAUACCCCAUGAUCUCUCCGGAGCAAAGGUUUACCACCUUGGGAUCGGCGAUCGUCCUAUCAGCUAGUUGGCGGGGUAAAGGCCCACCAAGGCUAUGACGGGGUAGCAGGUGNGAGAGCACGACCUGCAACAUCGGGACUGAGACACUGCCCGGACUCCUACGGGAGGCUGCAGCGACGAAUCUUCCGCAAUGGGCGCAAGCCUGACGGAGCGACGCCGCGUGUGGGAUGAAGCGCCUUCGGCGUGUAAACC
rnacentral:rRNA from 1 species